rnacentral:rRNA from 1 species
GACCUCAAAUCAGGUAAGAAUACCCGCUGAACUUAAGCAUAUCAAUAAGCGGAGGAAAAGAAAAUAACAAUGAUUCCCUCAGUAACGGCGAGCGAAGAGGGAUAAGCUCAAAUUUUAAAUCUGUUGGGUUUCACCUAACAGAGUUGUAUUUUGAAGAAACGUUUUCUGCGUCCAGGAUUAGCCUAAAUCCUUUGGGAUAAGGUAUCAUGGAGGGUGAGAAUCCCGUUCAUGGUUAAUCUUAAGGAUGCUCUACGAUACGUUCUCCAAGAGUCGAGUUGUUUGGGAUUGCAGCUCAAAAUGGGAGGUAAAUUUCUCCUAAGGCUAAAUAUUGGCGAGAGACCGAUAGCGAACAAGUACCGUGAGGGAAAGAUGAAAAGAACUUUGAAAAGAGAGUUAAACAGUACGUGAAAUUGUUGAAAGGGAAACGAUUGAAGUCAGUCAUACCAACGGGAAAUCAACCUCUUGAGUUUGGUCUCGUGGGUUUUGAAGAGUUUUUAAAAGCCUUCGGAUUUUCGAGAUUGGGUUCUUCUGGUGUACUUUCUCGUACGGUUAGUCAACAUCGGUUUUGAAUGUCAUAAAAUGACUGGAGGAAUGUGGCUUCGAUCUCGUAUUGAAGUGUUAUAGCCUUUGGUAGAUGUGAUGUUCGAGACCGAGGAUUGCAACGGAUACCCUUCUGGGCUAUUCGUCUGAUCUCUGAAACGUUGCCUUGAUGUCGAAAGCUUGCUUAUGAUGUUAGGGUAUUACGGUCAAAAGGUUAGAACGGAUUAAAUUCGUUAAGGAUGUUGACGUAAUGACUUUAAACGACCCGUCUUGAAACACGGACCAAGGAGUCUAACAUAUAUGCGAGUGUUUGGGUGAAUAAACCCUUGCGCGUAAUGAAAGUGAUUUUGGUGAGAUCCGGAUUAAUUUUUUUCGGAGCAUCAUCGACCGAUCAGGAUAUUU